GCCGAUGUCGCCUAAUCUGGUAGGGCAGCAGUCUCGAAAACUGCAUCCGAAAGGAUCUACAGGUUCAAAUCCUGUCAUCGGCG
rnacentral:tRNA from 1 species